UGAGCUCAGGCCUGGCUGGGCUCCAGGAGAAUCUUUCACAAGGCAAGAGAUAACACAAAGUCAAGGUGAAGAUCAGUGUAGCCCUUUAAAAGCCUCUUUGUGUCCUAGAGUUGCCGGAGCUCUCCCACUCCACCGCUAUCCCUCUUGCCUGCCAGCACCCAGCCACCAUGUGGGAGCUUGUGACUCUCUUGCUGUUCACCCUCACCUAUUUCUUUUGGCCCAAGAGAAGGUCCCCUGGUGCCAAGUACCCCAAGAGCCUCCUGUCCCUGCCCGUGGUGGGCAGCCUGCCAUUCCUCCCCAGACAUGGCCAUAUGCAUCAGAACUUAUUCAAGUUGCAGAAAAAAUAUGGACCUAUCUUUUCCCUUCGUAUGGGCAGCAACCUUACGGUGAUUGUCGGCAACCAUCAGCUGGCCAAGGAGGUACUUAUGAAGAAGGGCAAGGACUUUGCUGGUCGGCCUCAAGUGGCAACCAUAGACAUCCUGUCCAACAAGGGCAAGGGCAUUGCCUUCGCUGACUACAGUGCACAAUGGCAGCUGCAUCGAAGGCUUGCGAUGGCCACCUUUUCCCUGUUCAAGGAAGGCGAUCAGAAGCUGGAGAAGAUCAUUUGUCAGGAAAUCAGUAUAUUGUGUGAUAUGCUGGCCACCCACGAUGGACAGAGCAUAGACAUGUCCUUUCCUGUCUUCAUGGCGGUAACCAAUGUAAUCUCCUUGAUCUGCUUCAAUUCCUCCUACAAGAGUGGAGCCCCUGAGUUGAAGAUCGUAGAGACUUACAACCAUGGCAUUGUAGAAGCCCUGGCCAAGGAGAGCCUGGUAGACAUGUUCCCCUGGUUGAAGAUUUUCCCCAGCAAAACCCUGGAAAAAUUAAAGGCCAAUGUUAAAAUACGAAAUGAUCUGCUAAAUAAAAUAAUUGGAAAUUACAAGGAGAAAUUCCGCAGCGACUCUAUCAUCAGCAUGCUGGAUGUCCUGAUGCAAGCGAAGAUGAAUGCGGAUAAUGGCAACACCAGCCCAGAUCAAGACGCAGAGCUGCUUUCAGAAAACCACAUUCUCACCACCAUAGGGGACAUCUUUGGGGCCGGCGUGGAGACCACCACCUCUGUGGUCAAGUGGAUCGUGGCCUACCUGCUGCACAAUCCUCAGGUGAAGAAGAAGCUCUACGAGGAGAUUGACCAGAAUGUGGGUUUCAACCGCACACCAACGAUCAGUGACCGUAGCUGUCUGCUCCUGCUGGAGGCCACCAUCCGAGAGGUGCUUCGCAUCAGGCCCGUGGCCCCUAUGCUCAUCCCCCACAAGGCCAACGUUGACUCCAGUCAAAGUCUGCAAAAACAGACCUCUGCAAAUACUGAUCAACAUCUCAUAGAGCCGCUUUCCCCCUCCUCCCUGGAGCAGCAUUGGUGAGUUUGCUGUGGACAAGGGUACCCAUGUUGUUAUCAAUCUGUGGGCGCUGCAUCACAACGAAGAGUGGCACCAGCCGGACAAGUUCAUGCCUGAGCGUUUCUUGAAUCAAGCGGGAACCCAGCUCAUCUCACCGACAUUAAGCUACUUGCCCUUCGGAGCAGGACCUCGCUCCUGUAUAGGUGAGAUCCUGGCCCGCCAGGAGCUCUUCCUCAUCAUGUCCUGGAUGCUGCAGAGGUUCGACCUGGAGGUGCCAGAUGAUGGGCAGCUGCCCUCCCUGGAAGGCAACCCCAAGGUGGUCUUUAUGAUCGACUCUUUCAAAGUGAAGAUCAAGGUGCGCCAGGCCUGGAGGGAAGCCCAGGCUGAGGGUACCACCUAAAAGCUGUAACUCAUAGCCCCUGUCCACCCUGUGGUCCCACAACACGGAUUUAGAGGUGCAACCACCCCCCGCUUCUCUGCCGUUCUUCCGCGCUCCCAGACCACUCUGCCUUCUUUUCCAGCCUGUGGCAAUGUCAGUGAUGUGCAUAAACAGUUUUUUUCAUAAGG